GAUGAACGCUGGCGGCGUGCUUAACACAUGCAAGUCGAACGGUGAAGGCGGAGCUUGCUCUGCUGGAUCAGUGGCGAACGGGUGAGUAACACGUGAGCAAUCUGCCCCUGACUCUGGGAUAAGCGCUGGAAACGGCGUCUAAUACUGGAUACGAGCUGCGAAGGCAUCUUCAGCAGCUGGAAAGAAUUUCGGUCAGGGAUGAGCUCGCGGCCUAUCAGCUUGUUGGUGAGGUAAUGGCUCACCAAGGCGUCGACGGGUAGCCGGCCUGAGAGGGUGACCGGCCACACUGGUACUGAGACACUGCCCAGACUCCUACGGGAGGAAGCAGUGAGGAAUAUUGCAGAAUGAGCGAAAGCCUGAUGCAGCAACGCCGCGUGAGGGACGACGGCCUUCUGGUUGUAAACCUCUUUUAGCAGGGAAGAAGCGAAAGUGACGGUACCUGCAAAAAAAGCGCCGGCUAACUACGUG
rnacentral:rRNA from 1 species